CUUAGAUGUUCUGGGCCGCACGCGCGCUACACUGACAGAGCCAACGAGUUCAUUUCCUUAGCCGAAAGGUUUGGGUAAUCUUGUUAAACUCUGUCGUGCUGGGGAUAGAGCAUUGCAAUUAUUGCUCUUCAACGAGGAAUGCCUAGUAAGCGCAUGUCAUCAGCAUGCGUUGAUUACGUCCCUGCCCUUUGUACACACCGCCCGUCGCUCCUACCGAUUGAAUGGUCCGGU
rnacentral:rRNA from 12 species